rnacentral:rRNA from 1 species
GAUCCUGGCUCAGGAUGAACGCUAGCUACAGGCUUAACACAUGCAAGUCGGGGGGCAGCAUGGUCUUAGCUUGCUAAGGCCGAUGGCGACCGGCGCACGGGUGAGUAACACGUAUCCAACCUGCCGUCUACUCUUGGACAGCCUUCUGAAAGGAAGAUUAAUACAAGAUGGCAUCAUGAGUUCACAUGUUCACAUGAUUAAAGGUAUUCCGGUAGACGAUUGGGAUGCG